GAGGACUUAGCUUAAAGUGAAAGUGCCUGGUUUGCAUCCAGGAGAUGUGAGGUGGUUCUUGCAGUCCUUA
rnacentral:tRNA from 1 species